AAAUAAGAGUUGUUUCUUUGUGAUCUUUGAACUUGUUUGCAUGUUUCUCAUUUGUUCUUUCAGGUAAGACAGUGAAGUCUUUAACUGCUCCAGAAGAAGAGGGUCUGGAAAGAAAAUGUCUCUGGCAAAAAAGUAUCAGAUUUCUCAGGGGACAAAAUUUUGCUUAUUCAUACCUUCUACUGUGGCAAAAAUGGAUUCUUUUCCUCACCAAAAACCAGCAGCAUAACACCCAUCCAACACCUGCCUCAAGGAACUCUCAUUAUUUAAAGUCUAUUUUUAUUUCCCUGUAG
rnacentral:lncRNA from 1 species